rnacentral:piRNA from 1 species
UAGACCUUGAGGGCUUCCUGAACCUGCCUU